GCUAAUCCUGGUCGGACAUCAGGAGGUUAGUGCAAAGGCAUAAGCUAGCUUGACUGCGAGAGUGACGGCUCGAGCAGGUGCGAAAGCAGGUCUUAGUGAUCCGGUGGUUCUGUAUGGAAGGGCCAUCGCUCAACGGAUAAAAGGUACUCCGGGGAUAACAGGCUGAUACCGCCCAAGAGUUCAUAUCGACGGCGGUGUUUGGCACCUCGAUGUCGGCUCAUCACAUCCUGGGGCUGAAGUAGGUCCCAAGGGUAUGGCUGUUCGCCAUUUAAAGUGGUACGCGAGCUGGGUUUAGAACGUCGUGAGACAGUUCGGUCCCUAUCUGCCGUGGGCGCUGGAGAACUGAGGGGGGCUGCUCCUAGUACGAGAGGACCGGAGUGGACGCAUCACUGGUGUUCGGGUUGUCAUGCCAAUGGCAUUGCCCGGUAGCUAAAUGCGGAAAAGAUAAGUGCUGAAAGCAUCUAAGCACGAAACUUGCCCCAAGAUGAGUUCUCCCUGACUCUUUAAGAGUCCUGAAGGAACGUUGAAGACGACGACGUUGAUAGGCUGGGUGUGUAAGUGUAGCGAUACAUUGAGCUAACCAGUACUAAUGAACCGUGAGGCUUAACCUUACAACGCCGAAG
rnacentral:rRNA from 1 species